CGUGAAUCCUCUGGAGAUCCCCAUUUUCUGACAGUUGCAAAAUGGCAGUCGAUAUGUCAACUGCUAAAGGUGAGUCCCUUGGAAAAGCAAAGCCCCAUCCAUUCUUGGUGAACUCUUGACCUACAAUACUGAACUCACAUCUGGUUGAGAGGAAGAGCUCUACAUAUGGACGCUCAUCAACCACUGCAGCAACUCCACCUUUAUGGGGACCAUCUUUCAAGGCUUUAGAAUAUUCUUCUGGGGUGAUAAGCGGAACCAGUCUGGACUCAUCAAUGCCCAAUUCAUCAAUUAGAUAUUCACGGGCAAAUGAACCCUGCUGGUAGCCUAUAGGGUCCCUUAUUGACCUUAAGUAUUCAAUGCCUGUAAUGGGAGAAUAAAGCUGCUGCACUGUAAGGAUCGAGGUUAGGCUUGCAGUGUAGCUUGAGUUAAUUAUAAGCACCACAAACAGCCAUAUAAGUAGGACAAAGCGACCAAGGGUGCUAACAGUAUUUUCUCUAUGAGCAAAGAACCAUGUUGAAAAGCUAAACCAUAAAACAGUGAUGCAUUGUCUUCUGGGAGGGCCUCUAAAAUCAUCGUUCAACCUAUGCUCCAAAAUCCAAACAACUAUACCCACAAUUAUGAAAAAGCAAGCAGUGACAACCCACAUCUUGCGAGUAAAUGGCCUCAAAAAGGCCCAAGCAUCAGAAUUCACCUUCUUAACUGGAACCACUACUACUAACCCAGACUCAAUAUAGGGUUGCGUAAAGUCUGCCAUCCUAGUUCGGUUAGUAGUGAUUGCAAUGUCACCUACUGCUGCAUCAUAGAC
rnacentral:misc_RNA from 1 species